rnacentral:tRNA from 1 species
CAAGAGAUAGUUUAUAAAAAAUAUUAAUUUUGGAGAUUAAUGUAAGGGUGUAAUCCUUUCUCUUGA